rnacentral:rRNA from 1 species
UACGUAGGGUGCGAGCGUUAUUCGGAAUUACUGGGCGUAAAGCGUGCGCAGGCGGUGAUGUAAGACAGGUGUGAAAUCCCCGGGCUUAACCUGGGAACUGCAUUUGUGACUGCAUCGCUGGAGUGCGGCAGAGGGGGAUGGAAUUCCGCGUGUAGCAGUGAAAUGCGUAGAUAUGCGGAGGAACACCGAUGGCGAAGGCAAUCCCCUGGGCCUGCACUGACGCUCGUGCACGAAAGCGUGGGGAGCAAACAGG